rnacentral:rRNA from 1 species
UACGAAGGACCCAAGCGUUAUCCGGAUUUAUUGGGUUUAAAGGGUGCGUAGGCGGGUUAUUAAGUCAGUGGUGAAAGCCUACAGCUUAACUGUAGAAUUGCCAUUGAUACUGAUGAUCUUGAGUAUGAUUGAGGUGGGCGGAAUGUGUCAUGUAGCGGUGAAAUGCUUAGAUAUGACACAGAACACCGAUUGCGAAGGCAGCUCACUAAGUCAUAACUGACGCUGAUGCACGAAAGCGUGGGGAGCAAACAGG